GUUUAAUUGCCUUAAUGUUGUGCCCUGUACUGCCAAGUUUUCAGUUUCUGUGGAAGAGUGCAAAGUUGCUGUAAUUACUGGCUGCAGGAAUAAAUCCUUCACCAUCACAGAGGAAACUCUCCUAUCGCCAGCAACUUAAAGCCACCGGCUGGCUCUCAGUGCUCAUGGAACAGCAGCCUCCACAUGCACUGAAAUUGAGGCAGGACCCGAGCUCAGGUUUUCAAGAGGACUUGCCAAAAGAUUGGAGAGGAAAGAUCUUGGAUGGCAGUUGGUCUUCACCUUGAAGACUUGCUGAGGCAGGGACCUUCCAUGCCCGUGGAACAACCCACUGCAAGAAGAGAGGAUCAUCUGCACCUGACUGAAGACGAGGGUGAGAAGUAAUUCUAUCCUCCGAUGGAUUGAUGAGGUUUGGUGGAUGUAAGGAUGACUGCAUGGGUAAUGGGUUCUAUUUAUCCCAUAAUUUGCUGGAUUAACUCAGCAUCUGAAACCACCCUGUAAACUGCUCAGUUCUUUGUCUUUUCUCCUUUCCUAUUUAAGAGUAUGGUCUUUCAGUGAUAAAAGGCCUAAAGUGUUCUUUAUCUUGGUGCUCUGUUAGAUGCUUUUUCUCUAAAAGCUCAGAUUAAAGGGCAUCAAAGGGCUUGCCUGGAUCCUUUCAGAUGAACUUUUAUUAUUAUACCUCAACCAAUAGAGUUGCUACCUAAUUCAGACAGCACAGAGUGGUGCUGCCUUGUACUGUGGCUAAGGAAAAAUGCAAGCAAAAUGAGUUUGCUCACUUUUAUUUCAGGCCAUGGAAAGAUUACCCAUUUGGGAAAUCCAGUUAACCAGUGGAUGAGUUGACAUUACUCAGCGGUGCUCCAUAUGGAAAGUCUGGAACCUCUCCAGCAGCAGGACAGAUCUUCUGCACAGUGUCCAAGUCUCACACCUGCAAAGCAACAGCAGCUUUGCUCACCUUUCGUCUGGUGGAGACCUUGAUUCCAGGCUGGCUCCCAGCUUGCUGGGUGAGCCUGCCAGAGGCCUCUGAGAUGUGAAAGACUGCCCCUCCAUCAAUGCUAGCAUGACUGUUUGCAACACAUCCAAGCUAAGUGAGAACCCACGGUUGUUAGUAAGGAACCUAUCCCUGUGGACCAGUUCUCAAGCAUGAGACAGCUUUCUUUUCCUGCCCAUAUAUCUCCUUUAAAAAAGUUGCCUCUGGAUCGGUCACUGAGAACAUAAAAAGGUCAUUUCUAUCUCUAAAUGGACAUGUAACAAAUUCUUAUAGAAGAAAAGUCUCUGUUUCUCUCUUUCACAUUGCCAGUCUUCCUGCUGUUUUAAUCCUUGUGGAACAGAGCAGCUGUCAGAAUGUGCAUGUGUUCCACUGCAGUUGCAUCCACAGUGACAACUAAAAAUAACACAGGAGGGAGAUAAUUAACAUAUUGCUACUUUUCUCUUUGUACUGUGCUGCUUAUACAUGUAUUUACUAACAUGCUGCUUUAUCAUGGUUCCCAUUAGUGUUGUAAAGUUUUCCUACAUAUGGGCUUUAAGCUUUUCUAAGCACAAAUUUGACUUUUAUUAGAGAAACUUGAUAUAAGACAGUAAUUUCAAAACUGACUUAUUGCACACUUAUUGGCUCAAUUUGUGAAGUUUUAUAAGAUGCCAUUAUUUAAUUCCCAGAGCAGGCUUACAGCUGCUGCUGCUCUUCUUGGAACACCUUUUUGCUUUAGCAAAAUUGUGUGCUGCAAAACCCCCUCCAGUUGGUAAACACACAAACAGACCAUUGAGCGCUGGAACAAAGUAUUCUGUAUGCUUCUGUGAGUGAUCCUAAUGCCUGCCUGAAGGGUUGAAAACCAGAGUUUUGGAAAACCAGAGUUUUCUGUGCAUGACCACAGGCAAUGGGUUAUCUCUGGAGCCAAGAGUGCCUGCAGUGUGUUUGGGAUGGUGAGUGCAGCUGGCAGCAUGAUGCAGUGCAGACAUACUUAAGCCAGUUUUGAACAAGGUGGCUGAGGUAUUGAGAGGAGACUGGAGGCUGGGGCUGCAAAACCCAACUGAGAGGCUGGCUAAGCCCACGGGCAGCGACCCACCUUGCUCUUGGCACUGCCACAGCCACUUGUACACAUCCUGUCGCCUCCAAGCUUCUCAGCAGCACUGCUUGGUUUGGCUGCUGCACAGAGCAUGGGGAGGAGGAACAGGGGGGUGCUGCAGAAAAGCUCAGCUCUGGCCAGCUGCCUCAGCAAGAGGCAUUGCUCCAUAUGUGUCCACCUCAGAGGUGGCAGCAGCUGAGCAGGGCAGAUGUCAGAGCAGUGGGUGUUUUCUGGCCCCUAGAGGCUCCCUGCAGCCCUUACUGUGCCUGUGUUGGUUCACAGCCACAGGCUGGCAGGCUGGGAUUAAAGGUCGUUCCAGGGUGUCCAUGUUUCCACUGAGGCGCCCAGGUAGACAGAGGUGAGGAGCUGAUGAUAUUUAGUGAGCGUGGGGGCGUGCGGUGUAGGGCAUUGUGCUAAGGUGUAAACCAGGACUAAGCAGAUCAUCACUAGUUUUUCCACCAAGUUUUCCCUUAGUACAGAUUUUAAAACUUUGCUGAUGUUGCUCUGCUUACCAUCUCUAAGGCUGGACUGCUCAUAAGAGGUCAGUUUAACCUCCCUAAGCGUUUGGUGAAGAGACCCAAACUGGGCUGUGAAGAGCCUUAAAUUUCUUUUAAUUGCUAUCAUGUUGCAACUUUCACAACAGAUUAUAUAGUUGCAAACUGUUAUAAUAGGAUUUCUUCUGGAAUUGCCUCUUUUGAAGAACUGAGCAAGCAUGGCACAGCAUUACAGUGUUACGGGCUGUGGGAGCUGAUAAUGAAAGAAGAAACACUAGUGCUCCAUAGAAUCCUUCUGCCAGUUUGUUGAUGUUGUCUUUAAUCUUGCUCACCUAUCCCUGAGGAGCCUACAAUGGUGACUGGUAGCUCAUUCUUACUGUAGCUGAUUUUGUUUUCCUUGUGUCUCAACAUUCCUACAUCUGGUGCAAGAAAUCAUAACAGAGCAAACAAAACAAUUGCAUUGCAAAAACCAAAUGUGAAAUGUUCUCAUGUGCACUGUGUAUGUGUGUAUUUUAAAAUGUGGCCAUUUAGAGAGGUGUAAGAAGGCAGAAACCAGUCAGAUUCAUUUCAGCAGAUCUAUGGAACAGUGCCUUCACUGGGAGGCUGGUCCAAGGCAUUCUCCCACUCUCUAACCACUGAGAGCUCCAGGCUUUUCCAGAGGGAGGUGGAGGGAAGGAGCCUGGUGCCUGAAGUCAGGAGCUCUGAAUAUAGCCACAUCUUCUGGAGUACCUCUAGGACCAUCCUCAGCACAGGUUUUUUUUUUACUUAAUAGAACUCCUGUCCAAAAUACACCAUUGAAACUGACCCACUAAGAUGCAAUUUCAGAACAGAAGUGCUGAUAUAACUUUAAUUAUGCUUAUAUUAAUGCCAGUGAUUCAACUUUAUUGAAACAUUCAAACUUAUUUCGUUCAAUAUACCCAUUUAUAGAGUGCAUGGUCAGGGUAACCCGAAUCUCUUGCUGCCCUAAGGGAAGCAUACCUUAUUUUCCAAAGCUAAGGGUAAUUUCCUCUGUAGACUUGCCAUCCUUCCACCAGCUAAUAAGUAAAGUAUGCUGGAGAUUAAAAGCACUAUUCAAGAUAUCAGGUGAUAAUUUGGCAAUCCUGUGAUGGGAAAAUAAGUUUUCACUGCUUAUUAAUUUGUUUGCUUUGUACUGUUUCAGCCUAUAACUUUAAUGUUUGAAUUCAACACCUGGCAAGAUGUCCUAUGAGUUGUUAAAUUCUCAGGAGAACAUGAACAUGGUCUUGGCACUGCAAAAAGCUGAAGAUCACUCAGACACAGUAUCUUGUUUCUAACAGUGGUUGGCAGCAGGCAUGAAGAGACAGAAUACGAACUCAAGGCAUGUAGAGCUUCACUCAUCUUCCCAGCCUUUAGUUAUCAGUGCCUUAGUGACACCCUACACUGUCCUCCACUGUGAUCAAUAACCUGAGAUAGACCUACUUCCCAUGAAUCUGUUUGUUUCUUUUUGGACUUUGUAGCUUAACCACAUGCAGUGUUAAAAACUACUUCUCUACAGGUAUUUUAACCGUGUGAAAAUUUCACAGGUGGCAAAGGGCAAAGAGUAGGUUCAAAGACAGUGUGGUUACAUCCAAGCAGUAAAUAAUAAUUUCUUAUUUUGCUUUGCCAUGCCACUUACAAUGCUGUCUGUUGCUCUGUAAUACCCCUUUUCUGCUGUUGUUUUUUCCAAACUGAAGACACACAACCUAUGCAUUCUCUUGAAUGGCAGGUGUGUCAGUGAUGCAGUUGACAUGCCUGAGUCAUGGCAUGCCAUUCAGAGGGACCUGUACAAGCUUGAGAAGUGGGCUCAUGUGAACCUCUUGAGGUUCACAAGGCCAAGCUCAAGGUGCUGCACCUGUGUCAGAGCAACUCCUGGAGGAUGAAGAGCAACAGGCUGGAGGAUGAAGGGAUUGAGACCAGCCCUGCCAAGAAGUACUUGGGGGUGCUGGUGGAGGGAAAAAAAAUGGGCAUAAACUGGUGCUUGCAGCCUAGAAAGCCAACUGUAUCCUGGGCUGCAUGACAAGGAGAGAGGUCAGCAGGCCAAGGGAAGAGAUUGUGGAGUGCUGCAUCCAGCUCUGGGGUCCUCAACCCAGUAAAGUCAUAGAUCGGCUGGGGAAGGUCCAGCGGAGGGCCAGGAUGAUGAACACAGGGCCAGAGCACCCUUCAAAUGAGGGAAGGCUGGGAGAGCUGGGGUUGCUCAGUCUGGAGAAGAGAAGGUUCUGGGGAGACGUUAUUGUGGCAUUUCAAUACUUAAAGAGCGCUUAUAAAAGAGCUGUGAAAAUAGAAUUUUGGUAGUGUCUUUAGUGAUAGGACAAGAACUGAGGCUUCAAACAAAAGGAGAUAGGUCAGACUAUAUAUAAGGGAGACAUUUUUUACCAUGAAGAUGAUAAAACACUGGAUGCCCUAUUCCUAGAAACAUUCAAGAUCAGAUUGGACAGGGCUUGGAGCAACGUGGUCUAGUUGAAAAUGUCUCUACUGUUGCAGGAGGGUGGUGCUAGGUCACCUUUAAAGGUCUCUUACAAUCCAAACUGUUCUGAUGAUUCUAUGUGGUUGUCUGUCUUGGCAUUUUCUCUAAUUUUAGUACAUAGAUUCCCAACAUUUGAGGACCUGGUCCAAAGAUGUGUACUUACAUAUACACUUAAAAUUAAUAUCGAGGACCAAUGAUUUUUUUCCAUUGAUAUAUUUUCUCUAGGCUUACCCAACGUUGACUUAACACUCUAGGAUAUGUGCAAAGCAGAUAAUAUGUGUACACUUAGGACUACAAGCAAGAAAAUCCAAAGAUUAUUUUAAGACAAUGGAAACUAAAGGGCCCUGGUAUCCCUUCAUCUUGCCUGAUUACCUGAUGCUUUGCCUCAUUGCCUGAUUUUUUGGGGGGUUAACCCAGUAAUUUCCAUGAUAUCUCUGAAUUUCAUCUGUUGUUCUCCAGCAGAGCUAAUCCAAAUGUGUAAAUAUUUUCACAAUGUAGGAGUGCAUUUUCACGUUAUGUGCUCUAUUAUGAAUGCCAGUGCUGUUUUCAGGGACAAGCAUUAUGACUUUUCCAAACCUCUUUGCCCAUGAGUCUCUUCUGGUCGAACACCAAGAGCUUCCCUGUCAUUGCCUUCAUUCUAUUCCUACAGUCAUUGUGCUGUGAAGAGCAAGCAUAUUAUGAAAGAGGUGCACAUUUCCCAAGCAAAAUCAAACCCUCUCCGGGUCUCGUGCUGCAGGCCUCUCUGUAUUUACCCUGUUAGACCACUGGCAAGGGCAGCUCUUGUUUUUCCCUCCCAAUGAUGGUAUAUUGUGGCAGUCAAAUGCCUGCAGUGCAAAUCCGCCAUCCUCAGGCCUAGCCCCAGCAUGCCGGUCACGCAGUGACUCUUUUCUGCAGCCAUUGCGUUUCCUCUUUAAAGCUUUGGGAAAACUCAGGAAAGGGUAAACCUGGUCUGCGGAGUGCAUGGACCACAAUGUUGCCUGGGAAAGGCUGGUUGGCCCUGGAGCUUUUUGGGACCUGCAACUACUGCCCUUCUGUGUGCUUAAUAAGGCCUGUGGGCAUAGAGCUGAUUUAGUGGAAACUAACAGUCAGAGUUUAAAUAUGCUCUGAUGACAGCUGACUUUACUUGUUAGAGGUGUUGCACAAGGCUGUUGCUAAUGAUUAAAGCAGAUGGACAGGAGGAAGAAAGCAGAAAGCUCGAAUGUGUGAGAGGUGAAAGGGCAGGAGAAUUAGCCCAGAGAUUUCCUGUGGUCUGUGGGUGUUUUGUGUUAAGCGCUAAAUCAAAGAAUUGUUUUUAAUGAAUGAAAGUGCUAUACUUCAGCAACUUAAUUACAGCUAGCCUUCCUCUCCCACCACAGUGGGAGUGGGUAUUAUUUUAGAUAUACUCGUGGUGGAGUAUAAAAUCGCCUUGCUUUACCUUUCUGCUGUUCUGCAAACAAUUUGUGGGGACGUUGCGAAAGGCAAGGCUGUGGAGCAUCGCCGCCCUGAGCAGCAGGACAUGGCUCAGGGCACCGAGGAGGCGAGGGGGAGAGCCUGGCGGGCUGGUGCUGGCCAGCAGCUGCCUGCAGAGCACAUGCAGUUGUUGCAUCUUUUGUACUGAAGCCUUGCAGGGUUUCUCUUCACACUGGCCUUCACGCAGCCGUGCUGCCAUGCUGUGUCGUGGAUUUGUUGUCCCUGAGCAGCUGCUGUGGGCACACAGCCCCAGCAGUGUGCCUUGCCAGCAUCCCCAUCAGCCUUGCAGGAACGCAGGAAGGUUUGGGCAGCAUGGCCAGCUUGUACACAAGCAUCCAAGUCCACCAGGGGCGUGCUCUGAUAAUGGGAUUAGAGGGAGAAACAAGUCCAGGCUGAAGCUCUGAGGUACAUUUUUCUCACCAUCUCUUUCCUAAGCAUUAUGCAUUGCAUUUCUACAUAGUCUUAUUAGCUAUAUAAAAACCCUAUUGAUUUUAAACCCAAACAUAAUCACUGGAUUUUUGGAGUGACACCCAAAAGGCCCUGAUUCUACAUCUAUUCAUGAAAAUGAACUCAUACUACAUCGUAUUCUGCUUUACUUGGCCAUGGUGAUACCAAAAUAUUCUUCUUUAGCCUCUAGUGAUGAAAAUAUUAAAUAUAUUUUAGUUUUCUCUUAAGACAAAUUGAAGUACAGUUGUACGCCAGUAUUUAUUCCACCAUCAACUGCAUUAUAAAUUAAAUUAAAUUAAGUUAAAUUAAAUUAAAUCAAAUUAAAUGGAACCUUCUGUCAAGGAAAACAUCUGCAAUUCAAAGCAAAAUUAUAUUUGUUUUGGUGAAUUUUAUGAUUCAAACCUGAAAGGAAAUUAUUUUGUGCAAACAUAUGAGGAAAAAAUGUAGCACUACCUGCCCAAGUUCUUAAUAUUUUGCUGUUUCAUGUCUGGUUUUGUGAGUAGUUGGCCAUGUAUCUGCAUUAGCUUCAAGAUAUGAAUGUAUUUAAAUUUCAAAUUACUUAUAUUGCUAGGAGAAAAUUAGGUCUAUGCAAAAAUAUUAAAGAAAUGAAAAUAAAACUGCUUGCAACUUGCAUUCUACAAAACCUCUGUCUGGAAAACAACAUUCCACUUGAUGAUUAAAAAUAACAAUGAUGAUGAUGAAAAAAGGAAGUGCUAUAAAUUUUGCAAUGCAUGUGAAUUCCAGAAUGGCAGAAUUACGCUCUUUUUAAAAUCUUACUGUUGCUAUUUUAUUGUUGCUUUCACGUGCCUAUUCCCUGUAAUUUAACAUUUGGAAUGGUAGUUUGGUUUAACCUCUUCAAUAAAAGCAUAAGAGUUUCCCUCUGUCUUUCUGGUUGAAAAACUGCUUAUUUUAGGCAAAAACACGUCUCCAUUCUGGAAGAAUCUGUUUGCUGUGAAGAAAUCAAUCUGGACAAAAUUGUAGGACUUCUUACAUUCUGGUGAAAAUAGGUAAAUAAUGAUCAGGGAAAACCUUAUAUUAAAAAUCAGCAUGAUUUUCCAUUUUCAUAUGUGCAGGCAGACGAAAGGCACAGAUAAAAUAUUUUAUAGAGUUUGGCUCAAGAUGAAAAAAGAAUCAAACCAAAACAACUUUUGUUCCUGUGAAGAAAAAAAAAAAAAAGAACAAGAAAAAAAGAAAAAUCCAACAACUUUUGUUCCAGUAAUGUCUCUCCAGCUUUGAUUUAAGCUUUAGUUUCAUUCAAAUUAAACCACUUAACUUUGUCUGGUUUGAGAGUCAUAAUCAUACAAAACAACAAUGUUUUGCCAAACACAAUAAAUCAGCCCAAGUUCAGUCUAAAUUUGUCUCACAUUUUUCCAAAUUCAAUAAAUAUUUAGCAGGUUGGACCAUGGUUUGAGGUUUUCUAAUGGAUUCCCUGACUGUGUUUAGCCUCCUUUGAUGGUUUGAUGCAGAAAGAAAACACGAUUCUAUCAAAAUCUAGAAGGAGCUGACCAAGAUGGAGAUCUGCCUAGACAUGUUUGUUUAGUCCUUCAGAAUUGUUUACCUGUCUAACGGAGCACUGUAGCAGCAAUUGGCCAUGCACAAGGUAGUAGGCAUUGUAGAUAUUGCAAUGGCUACCAAAGUUCCCUGUCUGCCUGCUGCAUGACCUACUCUUUUCCAAGCCAUGCAAAGAUUAAGUCCUUUGAUUUCAGGCAGUAUUUUUUUUUUUUUGUCUGAGUGUUGUUGGGUACGAUGAUGAAAAAAAAAAGUAGGAUACUUUUAAUUUCUAUUUAUGUUCAGGAUCUUCUUGAUAUGACUGCAUUUCUGUAUCUGGAUGUAUAUUUACUGAGCCUGGAUACAAUAUUCCCUGUCAAUGGAAAGGUUUGUUUUUUUAUGGAUAUUCUUAAUUUCUUGAGGAAGUAGGGAACCAUGGUGAUCAUGUGACUUAGAGAUUGAAAAAUCCUGAUUUAUAGUGGUGCUGUGAAGUUUGCAACAGUGUCUUUCAUUUUAUAACUUCUACCUGCUCUCCAUUCAGAAUUGUUUCAUUUUAACUUCCAAACAGAAAAGUCUCUGGGGAAGUAGCAUCAACUUCCCUUGAGUAUAAGAAUUGUGAAAGCUUCCUCAUGGCA